rnacentral:rRNA from 1 species
UAGGGAAUCUUCGGCAAUGGGGGGAACCCUGACCGAGCAACGCCGCGUGAGUGAAGAAGGUUUUCGGAUCGUAAAGCUCUGUUGUUAAGGAAGAACGAGUGUGAGAAUGGAAAGUUCAUGCUGUGACGGUACUUAACCAGAAAGGGACGGCUAACUACGUGCCAGCAGCCGCGGUAAUACGUAGGUCCCGAGCGUUGUCCGGAUUUAUUGGGCGUAAAGCGAGCGCAGGCGGCUACUUAAGUCCAUCUUAAAGGUGCGGGGCUUAACCCCGUGAUGGGAUGGAAACUGAGAAGCUGGAGUGUCGGAGAGGAAAGUGGAAUUCCUAGUGUAGCGGUGAAAUGCGUAGAGAUUAGGAAGAACACCGGUGGCGAAGGCGACUUUCUGGACGACAACUGACGCUUAGGCGCGAAAGCGUGGGGAGCAAACAGG